rnacentral:rRNA from 1 species
GAUGAACGCUAGCUACAGGCUUAACACAUGCAAGUCGAGGGGUAACAAGAGGAAAGCUUGCUUUUCUUGUUGACGACCGGCGCACGGGUGAGUAACGCGUAUCCAACCUGCCUAUAACUAGGGAAUAACCUUGCGAAAGUAAGACUAAUACCCUAUGAUUUCCUUUGAUGACAUCAGAUUAGGAAUAAAGAUUUAUCGGUUAUAGAUGGGGAUGCGUCUGAUUAGCUUGUUGGCAGGGUAACGGCCCACCAAGGCAACGAUCAGUAGGGGUUCUGAGAGGAAGGUCCCCCACAUUGGAACUGCGACACGGUCCAAACUUCUACGGGAGGCAGCAGUGAGGAAUAUUGGUCAAUGGGCGGAAGCCUGAACCAGCCAAGUAGCGUGCAGGGUGACGGCCCUAUGGGUUGUAAACUGCUUUUAUACAGGAAUAAAGUUAGCCACGUGUGGUUAUUUGUAGGUACUGUAUGAAUAAGGACCGGCUAAUUCCGUGCCAGCCGCCGCCGUAA